CAAAAGAAUUAUUGUCUUAAAUAAAUUUAAGUAAAUUAUUAUGUUACGGUAUGUGGUAGGGUAAAUCGAGGAGAGAUGGACCAGUAGGAGAGAUGGACCACUCGCGAUAUCUCGGAAACCGUGGCAACAGUGCUUGCCGCGCCGGUGUAGAAUGAUGCAAUAGCAUUAGUUGUUGAUCGUUGACCGUUUUUUAAAAGUUAUCGAGUUAUUUUCUUCUGAAUCGUCAUCGAAAUUUUGCAUGGUUUUUUUCUUUGAACAGUUACUUCACUUGAGGAUAAUAAUGCCCAAUCAGUAUAUUCGCAAACGAAAUGUGCCCGAAAGGGGUUCUUGGUCUGCAGAGGACUUAUGUUCUGUCAUUAAUGCAGUAGUGUUUGGCGAAAUAUUUAUUAAAUGCGUUAGCUUUGUCAAUGUUGUUAAUUAUAUUUGAUUAUAUUA